GAUUUGUGCCCCCACCCCCUGAACUCCUCCCACUGCCGCUGCCCCCCCGGCUUCGAGGGACCCCCCUGGGACCGGGACCAGCCCUGGGAGAGGCACUGCCAGGACAUCAACGAGUGCGUGGGGGAGGGGCCCCCGCCCUGCCCCCCCCAGCAGAGCUGCAACAACACCGAGGGGGGGUUCGGCUGCGUCUGCAACGGCGGCUACAGAGCCGGGACCCCCCCCGGGACCCCUCCCCAAAACGGGACCCCCCCAGGGACCCCCCCAGGGACCCCCCUGCACUGCCAAGAUGUGGACGAGUGCUCGGAGGGGGGGGAGGGGCUGUGCGGGGGGGGCUCCGUGUGCCUCAACACCCCCGGGAGCUUCGAGUGCCACUGUCCCCCCCCCGGGCGGGGACCCCCGGGCCCCGAGGGGU